rnacentral:snRNA from 1 species
GUACGGGAGGUGGAAAAGACUCUCGGGAUCAAGCUUAGCCCGGAGCAGUUCCGGCCCAACAUUGUGGUAGACGGUCUAGAAGCUUGGAACGAUUUUCAUGCCGUGGGCCAAGCAAUGACCGUGUCGAGGGUAGACGGGACAGAGAGCACUC